AAACCUACGGGGGGCAGCAGUAGGGAAUCUUCCACAAUGGACGAAAGUCUGAUGGAGCAACGCCGCGUGAGUGAAGAAGGGUUUCGGCUCGUAAAGCUCUGUUGGUAGUGAAGAAAGAUAGAGGUAGUAAUUGGCCUUUAUUUGACGGUAAUUACUUAGAAAGUCACGGCUAACUACGUGCCAGCAGCCGCGGGAAUACGUAGGUGGCAAGCGUUGUCCGGAUUUAUUGGGCGUAAAGCGAGUGCAGGCGGUUCAAUAAGUCUUGUGUGUAAGGCUUUGGCUCCACCGGGGGAAUGG
rnacentral:rRNA from 1 species